UGGGGAAUAUUGCACAAUGGGCGCAAGCCUGAUGCAGCCAUGCCGCGUGUGUGAAGAAGGCCUUCGGGUUGUAAAGCACUUUCAGCGGGGAGGAAGGCGGUGAGGUUAAUAACCUCAUCGAUUGACGUUACCCGCAGAAGAAGCACCGGCUAACUCCGUGCCAGCAGCCGCGGUAAUACGGAGGGUGCAAGCGUUAAUCGGAAUUACUGGGCGUAAAGCGCACGCAGGCGGUCUGUCAAGUCGGAAGUGAAAUCCCCGGGCUCAACCUGGGAACUGCAUUCGAAACUGGCAGGCUAGAGUCUUGUAGAGGGGGGUAGAAUUCCAGGUGUAGCGGUGAAAUGCGUAGAGAUCUGGAGGAAUACCGGUGGCGAAGGCGGCCCCCUGGACAAAGACUGACGCUCAGGUGCGAAAGCGUGGGGAGCAAACAGG
rnacentral:rRNA from 1 species